rnacentral:rRNA from 1 species
GGCAGACGGGUGAGUAACAUGUAGGUAUCUUCCCAUUGGUGAGGAAUAACACGAGGAAACUUGUGCUAAUACCUCAUAAGUCUUUACGGAGAAAGCUUUAUGCGCCGAUGGAUGAGCCUGCACUUGAUUAGUUUGUUGGUAGGGUAAUGGCCUACCAAGACAAUGAUCAAUAGCUGAUUUGAGAGGAUGAUCAGCCACAUUGGGACUGAGACACGGCCCAAACUCCUACGGGAGGCAGCAGUAGGGAAUCUUGCACAAUGGGGGAAACCCUGAUGCAGCGAUGCCGCGUGAGUGGAGAAGGCCUUUGGGUUGUAAAGCUCUUUCGUCGGGGAAGAAAAUGACUGUACCCGAAUAAGAAGGUCCGGCUAACUUCGUGCCAGCAGCCGCGGUAAUACGAAGGGACCUAGCGUAGUUCGGAAUUACUGGGCUUAAAGAGUUCGUAGGUGGUUAAAAAAGUUGGUGGUGAAAUCCCAGAGCUUAACUCUGGAACUGCCAUCAAAACUUUUUAGCUAGAGUAUGAUAGAGGAAAGCAGAAUUUCUAGUGUUGAGGUGAAAUUCGUAGAUAUUAGAAAGAAUACCAAUUGCGAAGGCAGCUUUCUGGAUCAUUACUGACACUGAGGAACGAAAGCAUGGGUAGCGAAGAGGAUUAGAUACCCUCGUAGUCCAUGCCGUAAACGAUGUGUGUUAGACGUUGGAAAUUUAUUUUCUGUGUCGCAGCGAAAGCAAUAAACACAC